AGAACGAACGCUGGCGGCAUGCCUAACACAUGCAAGUCGAACGCUUUUGGGGCUUCGGUCCCAAAGGAGUGGCGCACGGGUGAGUAGCGCGUGGGAACCUGCCCUGUUGUGGGGGAUAACCGAGGGAAACUUCGGCUAAUACCGCAUACGCCCGGGGGAAACUCCGGGGAAAGAUUUAUCGCAGCAGGAGGGGCCCGCGUCGGAUUAGGUAGUUGGUGGGGUAACGGCCCACCAAGCCUGUGAUCCGUAGCUGGUCUGAGAGGAUGAUCAGCCACACUGGGACUGAGACACGGCCCAGACUCCUACGGGAGGCAGCAGUGGGGAAUAUUGGACAAUGGGCGCAAGCCUGAUCCAGCAAUGCCGCGUGAGUGAUGAAGGCCUUCGGGUUGUAAAGCUCUUUCGUCACGCGACGAUGAUGACGGUAGCGUGAGAAGAAGCCCGGCUAACUUCGUGCCAGCAGCCGC
rnacentral:rRNA from 1 species